AGUAAUGAGGGGUUAAACUCGCUCGGUAUGGAAUACGUUUUAGCGAGUGUAAAAUAUCGCUGAAAGUGUUUAACAACACUGCCAACAGUUUAUCUGGUAAAUCAUAUGUUGCUUGUAUAUUGAUGUUUGACAAAAUCAUAAAAAUUAAGAAUUUUGAGUUGUCGUUGUUAUUUAAUUUAAAAAGUUUAAUAUUUGCCGUCAUUAGUGUAAAAUUUAAAGCUUAAGUUAAAUGCGAUCGGCGUUCCUAGUUUAUUUUCAGUUGCUUUGUGAACAUUUCUUUAUUUCCGUGUAUAAUUCUUUGGUGUGGAUUUCUUAAUGCUUUUACAGACCAACGACAAGUGAACAAAAUUAGAAUACUCUUGCAAACUACUGAUGCUCGGGUAUAAAAAAUACAGUGAAAAUGAUACAAGCAAACAAAAAAAGUUCAACAGCUUUAAUCUAACGAGGUGGCCCACUAAAUUUGUAAAGCUCUUUCAUGGAAGAUAUAAAAAAAAAACAUAAAACCCUCAAACAAAAACAAAAAAACAUAAAAUUUCGGUAUGCAAGUGAGCAUUUCCAUGUAACACAACCGACGGGGUUGACUGAGCGCAGCACAUGCCAGGGUGGUGUAUGUUGAAAAAAAAUCUUAUUAGCAAUAAAAAACAACUUGCAGCAAUUCAUAAGCAACAACGUUAAGCAUCAACGACGCCGAGCCACAACAUUGAAUGGACUGAGCAGCGCUUACAAAAGCACCAACAAUUGGCGGGCGGAUGGAAACUGUUGGCGCUGCCAGCCAGUUAAGCUAUUUAAUAAGUGAACAAAUAAAGCAUGGCAGCUAAAGGGCAAUCUAAUUUAACCCUCCGUUGUAACGUACGCCUAAUGGUAGGCAACAAAAACUGAGCAUCGGCGGCGACUACGGCAGCAAAUGCGGCACAAUUACUGCGAUGCCACAUAAAUUUCUGAAGUGAAUUUCAGCUAAUCUAAGUAAUCUGCGUGAAAUGAAUAAACCCCCAGCACAAACACAGACACCAACGAGAAAUAAUGGGCGCAAACACAAGCACACGAACACGCGUGCAACGUGCAGUUUCUUCGAGAAAUCCUUGCAGCUCACUUGCUUGCCUGCUUACUUGACUUGACUUGACUAGCGUGUGUAUAGUCAUAGAUAUUUCUUAUCAGCAGCAAAUACAAAUAAGCCACCACCACCACCGCAUUGGUGGCGCAAGGAUGUCGGCUUUUUUACAAUAGACUGGCAGUUGGCAAUUGUUGCGGAAUAUAUUGUUGAAGAAAAGCGCUGAAGCGGCAUUAUAAGCGUUAACUAGCAUUCGUCCUUGCUCGAACGAGGAACAGUGAGUUAUUCACAUAAUCAAGAUGAAUGUAUUUAAGUAAAAUUUAUUGGAAAAUUAUAUACUCAUUGCUUUCAUUUACUUAAUUUAUGAAGAUUUUUAUCUACUGCCGGAAAAUUAUAUGUAGAUUGUUUUCAAUUUUUAUGAUCUAUUUC